rnacentral:rRNA from 1 species
UACGUAGGCAGCAAGCGUUGUUCGGAUUCACUGGGCGUAAAGGGUGCGUAGGUGGCCAGGUAAGUCUGAUGUGAAAUCUCGGAGCUCAACUCCGAAACUGCAUUGGAUACUAUCUGGCUGGAGGGUCGGAGGGGGGACUGGAAUUCUCGGUGUAGCAGUGAAAUGCGUAGAUAUCGAGAGGAACACCAGUGGCGAAGGCGAGUCCCUGGACGACUCCUGACACUGAGGCACGAAAGCUAGGGGAGCAAACAGG